CCUACGGGUGGCAGCAGUGGGGAAUAUUGCACAAUGGAGGAAACCCUGAUGCAGCAACGCCGCGUGAAGGAAGACGGCUCUCGGAUUGUAAACUUCUGUUCUUAGUGAAGAAUAAUGACGGUAGCGAAGGAGCAAGCCACUGCCAACUGCGUGCCAGCAGCCGCGGUAAUACGUAGGUGGCAAGCGUUGUCCGGAAUGACUGGGUGUAAAGGGAGCGCAGGCGGGAAGCUAAGUCAGAUGUGAAAGCUACGGGCUUAACUUGUAGACUGCAGUUGAAACUGGUCUUCUAGAGUGAAGGAGGGGUUGACGGAAUUCCGAGUGUAGCGGUGAAAUGCGUAGAUAUUCGGAAGAACACCGGUGGCGAAGGCGGCCAACUGGGCUUUAACUGACACUGAGGCUCGAAAGUGUGGGGAGCAAACAGGAUUAGAUACCCGAGUAGUC
rnacentral:rRNA from 1 species